rnacentral:rRNA from 1 species
CCUACGGGAGGCAGCAGUGGGGAAUAUUGGACAAUGGGCGAAAGCCUGAUCCAGCAAUGCCGCGUGAGUGAAGAAGGCCUUCGGGUUGUAAAGCUCUUUUACCCGGGAAGAUAAUGACUGUACCGGGAGAAUAAGCCCCGGCUAACUCCGUGCCAGCAGCCGCGGUAAUACGGAGGGGGCUAGCGUUGUUCGGAAUUACUGGGCGUAAAGCGUACGUAGGCGGCUUUGUAAGUCAGAGGUGAAAGCCCACGACUCAAUCGUGGAACUGCCUUUGAGACUGCUUCGCUUGAAGAUGGGAGAGGUUAGUGGAAUUCCGAGUGUAGAGGUGAAAUUCGUAGAUAUUCGGAAGAACACCAGUGGCGAAGGCGGCUAACUGGACCAUUCUUGACGCUGAGGUACGAAAGCGUGGGGAGCAAACAGGAUUAGAUACCCUGGUAGUCCACGCCGUAAACGAUGAUAACUAGCUGUCGGGGCUCUUGGAGCUUCGGUGGCGCAGCUACGACAUUAAGUUAUCCGUCCGUCGGGUAGGUACGGCCGCGAAGGUUAAACGUAACGAAGAAGUAGACGGCGUGAGACGNGCCGACGGACGACGACGAGGGAGGUAGG